GGGUCGGUGGCCGAGUCUGGUUGAAGGCGACAGUCUGUAAAACUGUUCUUUUUUGCACGCAGGUACCCUGCGGGAAGCAAGCUACAAAUCCUGCUCGACCCA
rnacentral:tRNA from 1 species